CUCUAAAGAGACUGCGAUGACAAAUCGGAGGAAGGUGGGGAUGACGUCAAAUCAUCAUGCCCUUUAUGUCCUGGGCUACACACGUGCUACAAUGGUCGGUACAACGAGAAGCAAGCCAGCGAUGGCAAGCAAAUCUCUAAAAGCCGAUCCCAGUUCGGAUUGCAGGCUGCAACUCGCCUGCAUGAAGUCGGAGUUGCUAGUAAUCGCGGAUCAGAAUGCCGCGGUGAAUGCGUUCCCGGGUCUU
rnacentral:rRNA from 1 species